rnacentral:rRNA from 1 species
CGACGCAACGCCGCGUGGAGGAUGAAGGUCUUCGGAUUGUAACUCCUGUUGCUCGGGACGAAGAGCUUCGACCUAACACGUCGAAGUCUGACGGUACCGAGUGAGGAAGCCCCGGCUAACUCUGUGCCAGCAGCCGCGGUAAUACAGAGGGGGCAAGCGUUGUUCGGAAUUACUGGGCGUAAAGGGCGCGUAGGCGGCCUGCUAAGUCGAACGUGAAAUCCCUGGGCUCAACCCAGGAACUGCGUCCGAUACUGGUUGGCUUGAAUCCGGGAGAGGGACGUGGAAUUCCAGGUGUAGCGGUGAAAUGCGUAGAUAUCUGGAGGAACACCGGUGGCGAAGGCGACGUCCUGGACCGGCAUUGACGCUGAGGCGCGAAAGCCAGGGGAGCAAACGGGAUUAGAUACCCCGGUAGUCCUGGCCCUAAACGAUGAAUGCUUGGUGUGGUGGGUAUCGAUCCCUACCGUGCCGAAGCUAACGCAUUAAGCAUUCCGCCUGGGGAGUACGGUCGCAAGGCUG